GACGUAGGGCGCGAGCGUUGUCCGGAUUUAUUGGGCGUAAAGAGCUCGUAGGCGGUUUGUCGCGUCUGCUGUGAAAUCUCAAGGCUCAACCUUGAGCUUGCAGUGGGUACGGGCAGACUAGAGUGUGGUAGGGGAGACUGGAAUUCCUGGUGUAGCGGUGAAAUGCGCAGAUAUCAGGAGGAACACCGAUGGCGAAGGCAGGUCUCUGGGCCACUACUGACGCUGAGAAGCGAAAGCAUGAGGAGCGAACAGG
rnacentral:rRNA from 1 species